GACGAACGCUGGCGGCGUGCUUAACACAUGCAAGUCGAACGCUGAAGCCCUUUCGGGGGUGGAUGAGUGGCGAACGGGUGAGUAACACGUGGGUAAUCUGCCCUGUACUUCGGGAUAAGCCUUGGAAACGGGGUCUAAUACCGGAUAGGACCUGUCCUCGCAUGGGGGUGGGUGGAAAGUUCCGGCGGUAUGGGAUGAGCCCGCGGCCUAUCAGCUUGUUGGUGGGGUAGUGGCCUACCAAGGCGACGACGGGUAGCCGGCCUGAGAGGGUGGCCGGUCACACUGGGACUGAGACACGGCCCAGACUCCUACGGGAGGCAGCAGUGGGGAAUCUUGCGCAAUGGGCGAAAGCCUGACGCAGCAACGCCGCGUGGGGUAUGACGGCCUUCGGGUUGUAAACCUCUUUCGACAUCGACGAAGGGGCCCUGUUGUGGGGUUUUGACGGUAGGUGUAGAAGAAGCACCGGCUAACUUCGUGCCAGCCGCCGCCGUAA
rnacentral:rRNA from 1 species